CCUACGGUGAGCAGCAGUGGGGAAUAUUGCACAAUGGGGGAAACCCUGAUGCAGCGACGCCGCGUGAGUGAAGAAGCGUUUCGGCGCGUAAAGCUCUGUCAGCGGGGAAGAAACACGGUUCGCGAGAGCCGCGGACGGUACCCGACCAAGAAGCCCCGGCUAACUACGUGCCAGCAGCCGCGGUAAUACGUAGGGGGCAAGCGUUAUCCGGAUUCAUUGGGUUUAAAGGGUGCGUAGGCGGGCUGUUAAGUCAGCGGUAAAAGCCCGGGGCUCAACCCCGGCGAGCCGUUGAAACUGGCUGUCUUGAGAUGUCGAGAGGUAUGCGGAAUGCGCAGUGUAGCGGUGAAAUGCUUAGAUAUUGCGCAGAACUCCGAUUGCGAAGGCGGGUUGCUAGACUGUAACUGACACUGAGGCACGAAAGCGUGGGGAGCAAACAGGAUUAGAUACCCGUGUAGUC
rnacentral:rRNA from 1 species